rnacentral:rRNA from 1 species
GCACAAGCGGUGGAUGAUGUGGAUUAAUUCGAUGCAACGCGAAAAACCUUACCUACCCUUGACAUGUCCGGAAUCCCGAAGAGAUUUUGGGAGUGCUCGCAAGAGAACCGGAACACAGGUGCUGCAUGGCUGUCGUCAGCUCGUGUCGUGAGAUGUUGGGUUAAGUCCCGCAACGAGCGCAACCCUUGUCAUUAGUUGCCAUCAUUUGUUGGGCACUCUAAUGAGACUGCCGGUGACAAACCGGAGGAAGGUGGGGAUGACGUCAAGUCCUCAUGGCCCUUAUGGGUAGGGCUUCACACGUCAUACAAUGGUCGGUACAGAGGGUUGCCAACCCGCGAGGGGGAGCUAAUCCCACAAAGCCGAUCGUAGUCCGGAUCGCAGUCUGCAACUCGACUGCGUGAAGUCGGAAUCGCUAGUAAUCGUGGAUCAGCAUGUCACGGUGAAUACGUUCCCGGGUCUU